UACGGAGGGUGCAAGCGUUGUUCGGAAUUAUUGGGCGUAAAGCGCGCGCAGGCGGAAAUAUAAGUCAGAUGUGAAAUCUCGGGGCUCAACUCCGAAAGUGCGUCUGAAACUGUUUUUCUAGAAUGCCGGAGGGGGAUGGGGAAUUUCUCAUGUAGGGGUAAAAUCCGUAGAGAUGAGAAGGAACACCUAUGGCGAAGGCACCAUCCUGGACGGUGAUUGACGCUGAGGCGCGAAGGCGUGGGGAUCAAACAGG
rnacentral:rRNA from 1 species